UUUUCAUACCCUACAAUACUCAUCUCAUAUGUAUAUACUGUACUCCAUACCAUCUAUUACAUCUUGCCUAUGCCAUUCGGCCAUCACUCAUUUUUUUUUUUUUAUGUACAUAUUCGUAUUCAUUCCUUUACACUUGUGUGUACAAGGUAGUUGUUGUGGAAUUGGUAGAUUACUUGUUAGAUAUUCCUGAAUGGUCGGAACUAGAAGCACAAGCAUUUCGCUACACUUGCAUUAACACCUGCUAACCAUGUGUAUGUGACAAAUAAAUUUGAUUUGAUUUGAUUUUGAUAGGAAGAAGAGAGAUCAUGAUACAGAAAGCAGUCUUGUAAAGAAAGCAGAAAGAGGGCCAAGGUAUCCAUCUCAAUGAACCAUGGCGUACCUGGAAGUACUGACACGCUUGUUGUCGGAGAGUCAAAGAAUGCAUUUGGCAUUAUGGCUGCAAGGAUUCUUAGUCGUCCAAUCAGUGUACCCCUGAAAUGGUCAUGUGUGGCUCUCCACAACUCUCUGUCCUCCACGGAUGAAGC
rnacentral:lncRNA from 1 species